GAGGAUGACGACUUCAUAUCUGUCGCUCCACUCUUACGGUCUGCAUAGGUGGAUCUUUGCUGAUUGACAUACUUCUGAAUCUGAUUC
rfam:Triticum aestivum genome assembly, contig: Triticum_aestivum_CS42_TGACv1_scaffold_404296_5BL